ACUGCUCUGAUAAUUACACACCUCUUCGUGGUGAGCAGCAGGCAUUGAUCUUAUGAUUAUGGUUGUCGAAGAUAUUAGA
rnacentral:ribozyme from 1 species